UGGGCAACUUGCCCUCAGCUCUGGGAUAACCCCGGGAAGCCGGGGCUAAUACCGGAUACGACCUCCACGGGCAUCUGUGGAGGUGGAAAGGGUUUUCCGGCUGAGGAUGGGCCCGCGGCCUAUCAGCUUGUUGGUGGGGUGACGGCCCACCAAGGCGACGACGGGUAGCCGGCCUGAGAGGGCGACCGGCCACACUGGGACUGAGACACGGCCCAGACUCCUACGGGAGGCA
rnacentral:rRNA from 1 species